rnacentral:rRNA from 1 species
GACGAACGCUGGCGGCGUGCUUAACACAUGCAAGUCGAACGGAAAGGCCCUGCUUUUGUGGGGUGCUCGAGUGGCGAACGGGAGAGUAACACGAGAGUAACCUGCCCUUGCCUUUGGGAUAACUUCAGGAAACUGGGGCUAAUACCGGAUAGGAGCUCCUGCUGCAUGGGGGGGGUUGGAAAGUUUUGGCGGUUGGGGAUGGACUCGCGGCGUAGCAGGUUGGUGGUGGGGUAGUGGCGUACCAAGGCUUUGACGGGUAGCCGGCCCGAGAGGGCGACCGGCCACAUUGGGCCUGUGCGGCGGGUCGGAGUGCUACGGGUGGCAGCAGGGGGGAAUGCUGCACGCUGGGCCGCCGCCUGAGGGAGGGACGCCGUGGGCUUGAGGACGUCUUUCGGGUGUUAAACCGCUCUCGCUUUUUACGGAGCGUUAGUGACGGUAUGGGUUAAAGAAGCGCCGGCUAACUACGUG